rnacentral:rRNA from 1 species
UCCUACGGGAGGCAGCAGUGGGGAAUAUUGCACAAUGGGCGCAAGCCUGAUGCAGCAACGCCGCGUGCGGGAUGACGGCCUUCGGGUUGUAAACCGCUUUCACCAGGGGCGAAGGUAUCCCUUUUCGGGGGUGUUGACGGUACCUGGAGA